AUUUCAGACUGUGGUCAAUCUGAUUGAUCGUCGAGAACACGAAACCCGAGAAAACAAGCGGCUGCUGGAGAAAUCACAGAGAAUUGAGGCCAUCAUGGCAUCGAUGCAGGCGACUGGAGCAGAGGAACAGCAGCUCCAGGAGAUUGAGGAGAUGAUCACAGCUCCCGAGCAGCAGCAGCUGGAGACACUGAAACACAAUGUCAACAUGUUGGAUUCAAGUGAGAAUCAGGUGGACGAGACAAUAUUUAUACUGGAAUCCUACAUAGACUCUACUCACGUUGAGAAAGAGAUACCAAACAAACGGUGAGCUGGAGGAUCUGAGGAUCAGUGUGUUGGAGACCAGCUACCUUUCCCCAGUAAUGUGAGACUGUCUCACUGAGACAGUCACGUGAGAUGCUGGGCACUGAGUUGACGAUGUAAUGUGUGAGACUGUCUCACUGAGACAGUCACGUGAGAUGCUGAGCAGUGAGUUGACGAUGCGGCAGUUCACUAAUGGAGAAGAGAGUUUUAAGAGCUGCCUGUGGAAAUCCCAGCGCUCUGUGUUGUAGCUUUUAUGUUUGUCAAAUUAUGUUAAUUUAAUAAAUGUCGCAGUGUCUUGAA